UGGGUAACACUAACUGGAGGACCGAACCGACUAAUGUUGAAAAAUUAGCGGAUGACCUGUGGCUGGGGGUGAAAGGCCAAUCAAACCGGGAGAUAGCUGGUUCUCCCCGAAAGCUAUUUAGGUAGCGCCUCGUGAAUUCAUCUCCGGGGGUAGAGCACUGUUUCGGCUAGGGGGCCAUCCCGGCUUACCAACCCGAUGCAAACUGCGAAUACCGGAGAAUGUUAUCACGGGAGACACACGGCGGGUGCUAACGUCCGUCGUGAAGAGGGAAACAACCCAGACCGCCAGCUAAGGUCCCAAAGUCAUGGUUAAGUGGGAAACGAUGUGGGAAGGCCCAGACAGCCAGGAUGUUGGCUUAGAAGCAGCCAUCAUUUAAAGAAAGCGUAAUAGCUCACUGGUCGAGUCGGCCUGCGCGGAAGAUGUAACGGGGCUAAACCAUGCACCGAAGCUGCGGCAGCGACACUGUGUGUUGUUGGGUAGGGGAGCGUUCUGUAAGCCUGUGAAGGUGUGUCGUGAGGCAUGCUGGAGGUAUCAGAAGUGCGAAUGCUGACAUAAGUAACGAUAAAGCGGGUGAAAAGCCCGCUCGCCGGAAGACCAAGGGUUCCUGUCCAACGUUAAUCGGGGCAGGGUGAGUCGACCCCUAAGGCGAGGCCGAAAGGCGUAGUCGAUGGGAAACGGGUUAAUAUUCCCGUACUUGGUGUUACUGCGAAGGGGGGACGGAGAAGGCUAUGUUGGCCGGGCGACGGUUGUCCCGGUUUAAGCGUGUAGGUGUGUGUUCCAGGUAAAUCCGGUUCACUUUAACACUGAGGCGUGACGACGAGGCACUACGGUGCUGAAGCAACAAAUGCCCUGCUUCCAGGAAAAGCCUCUAAGCAUCAGGUAACAUCAAAUCGUACCCCAAACCGACACAGGUGGUCAGGUAGAGAAUACCAAGGCGCUUGAGAGAACUCGGGUGAAGGAACUAGGCAAAAUGGUGCCGUAACUUCGGGAGAAGGCACGCUGACACGUAGGUGAAGUGAUUUACUCAUGGAGCUGAAGUCAGUCGAAGAUACCAGCUGGCUGCAACUGUUUAUUAAAAACACAGCACUGUGCAAACACGAAAGUGGACGUAUACGGUGUGACGCCUGCCCGGUGCCGGAAGGUUAAUUGAUGGGGUCAGCGCAAGCGAAGCUCCUGAUCGAAGCCCCGGUAAACGGCGGCCGUAACUAUAACGGUCCUAAGGUAGCGAAAUUCCUUGUCGGGUAAGUUCCGACCUGCACGAAUGGCGUAAUGAUGGCCAGGCUGUCUCCACCCGAGACUCAGUGAAAUUGAACUCGCUGUGAAGAUGCAGUGUACCCGCGGCAAGACGGAAAGACCCCGUGAACCUUUACUAUAGCUUGACACUGAACAUUGAGCCUUGAUGUGUAGGAUAGGUGGGAGGCUUUGAAGUGUGGACGCCAGUCUGCAUGGAGCCGACCUUGAAAUACCACCCUUUAAUGUUUGAUGUUCUAACGUGGACCCGUUACCCGGGUUGCGGACAGUGUCUGGUGGGUAGUUUGACUGGGGCGGUCUCCUCCUAAAGAGUAACGGAGGAGCACGAAGGUUGGCUAAUCCUGGUCGGACAUCAGGAGGUUAGUGCAAUGGCAUAAGCCAGCUUGACUGCGAGCGUGACGGCGCGAGCAGGUGCGAAAGCAGGUCAUAGUGAUCCGGUGGUUCUGAAUGGAAGGGCCAUCGCUCAACGGAUAAAAGGUACUCCGGGGAUAACAGGCUGAUACCGCCCAAGAGUUCAUAUCGACGGCGGUGUUUGGCACCUCGAUGUCGGCUCAUCACAUCCUGGGGCUGAAGUAGGUCCCAAGGGUAUGGCUGUUCGCCAUUUAAAGUGGUACGCGAGCUGGGUUUAGAACGUCGUGAGACAGUUCGGUCCCUAUCUGCCGUGGGCGCUGGAGAACUGAGGGGGGCUGCUCCUAGUACGAGAGGACCGGAGUGGACGCAUCACUGGUGUUCGGGUUGUCAUGCCAAUGGCACUGCCCGGUAGCUAAAUGCGGAAGAGAUAAGUGCUGAAAGCAUCUAAGCACGAAACUUGCCCCGAGAUGAGUUCUCCCUGAGACUUAGAGUCUCCUGAAGGAACGUUGAAGACGACGACGUUGAUAGGCCG
rnacentral:rRNA from 1 species